UUGUUUUAUCAUUCAUUUAUUUAGCAAAGAAAGGAAUGGAUUCAAAUACCCCACACAAUGAACACGUAUCUAUUCCCUGAUAUUAAGAUGCAGAUCUGCUUGUGAACAAUUUUAAAUGAAUCUGUUUUCUUACUAUUGAAGUCAUCUUGUACUGUGCAUGGAUUUGUGCAGAAGCAAUAUAUUUUGGGCUCAAUCCUGUAAAAACAUUAAAAUAAGUAAUUUGUUACACCCAUACCACUGAACUUGGUGUGGUUACUUACGUGACGAGUAAAAUCAUACUCAAGAGCCUAGCUUUUGCCAAUCUAAAUUUAGGCAUCCAAAUGACUGAGUAUUAGAAGUGUGUCUCUCUAGGCUCACUAUAGUUUUGAGCAAAAGGCACAAGCCCUCACUAGAAUGUAACUCUGCCCAUCUAAGCAUAUUCUCCCAUAUGAGACAUAGAGGGUGCUGGUGGCAGCUACAAUCAGAAGUUGGUCAGAUGCCUCAAGCAGAGCAAGAUAAGCUUGGACCAAACUGUUUACAGAAUUGAUCUCAUACAGCGAAGCCAUUAUGCAUACAAUUAACUUUAGGAAUGUGCUUAUGUUGCGCUGAUUUUAAUAAAACUGGUCCCACAUUUAAAGAAGUGACUAUAUUUGUUCUACAAUUCUGAGGGAAAAAAUAUUGAAACGUUUAUGCCUAUUAACAUUUUUGUUGCAUCUGGGACCUCUUACUCUCUUUUCCGGUUUCAACAGCCAUAUGGUCUGAUGCUUUGAGAACUUUCUUCACUUAACAUAAGUGCUUUGGUAGCUCUUGAUUUGUACACUGACAUGGUAUUUUUCCAGAGGUUACUGUGGAGCUCUGGUCAAGCUAACUAAACCCACAGUAUCCUAUAUCCAUCUGAGACUUUAAUCAGUACUGCUUAAUAGCCUGGAAAUCAGAGCCAUUUAAGCCCCAUUCUUUCUCCCACUCUCGCAAGAAAAUCCUAAUCCUAGUCAAAAAUCUCUUGAUUAGCUUUAGCCAAAUGACACUGCUCCAACAGCAGGUGACUGCAAAUGGCUGGAAAAGCUUCCAUGUAAAGUAACUUUAAAUGACCAUAAAGGUCAUUAGACUUAAAUCAAAGUACAAGAUAAAACUGCAAGCACAGGAGUCCAUUUUCUAAGAAACCAAGGAAUGUAUGCUGUGUAUCAAUCAGACACAAAAAGAGGCCCAAAAUGUGUACUCAAACACAAUUCUACUUUGGCUUGUCCAGUGAAAGUAUAUAGUGUAAAGGAUCUGACUGGCUAUCCUGCUUCCUUCUCACUCCAUGUAGCAGGGUUACAAAGAAACAGAUUCACACAGAGAAUCUUGACCUAUCUGUCAAAAUGUUUGCAUUCAAAACAGAGGAACAUUUUAAAAUUUAUGCAAGCAGUACAAAAGUGGUUUAGUAAUAUUAACUAUUGGCAUCAGAGGUAAUACAAUUAUUUAUCCAAAAAAGAUAACUUUAUCUAAGCAAAAAGAUAAGGGGUAUUUAAGCAUGGCAUUUAAUGGGCAAGUGAGUUGAUUUUCCCUUUCCAAAAAGAGAACAAUACUGUAAGAACCAAAUUUUUCCUUUGUGCACAUUUGAGAGCUCUUUCAGCUUAAACAAGAUUUGCAGGAAAAUGCUUACUCAUUACAUUUUUGGCAAAAGAAAUGUAAGAGCUUUCAUGGGGAAAACUGCUUUUCACCAAAAUGUGUGUGCCUAUUAAAAAAAAAAAAAAGCUAAAUAAAGUAAAUUGAAAAUUAAGAGAUUGCAAUUUGCUUUGCACCAUGUCUUAGGAAAGGCUGUAUUAAACUACCUGGGCAGCUGUGCAGAGCUCGGGAGGUGAAAAUACUGACAUAGGCAGUGCAUCUGCGGUCCUGUGAUUUAGAGGAAUGUAAUUUAGGAAGCUAAAUUACAAAAAAAAGUUUAAAAGAAACACUUUUCUGACAAUUUGGUGUGGUGUUUAAGUGGCAUCACAUGGGAGUUGCUCAAAGGUCUGGAAUGCCUGAAAUACUCCUUGGGGAGAUGAUGGAAGUAUGAGCAGACUGAGCACCUGCUAAAUGCACUUCUACCUAUGAUCAUGCAGACUUAAUCUAGGGUAUUAUUACCGCAUAUAUAACACAAAUCUAACAUAUGUAUCUAUCCAUGGAAAGAAUGGAAAAUAGAUCACUGUAAAGACAGGCGUGCUUCAAACUACUGAAGAGUUAAAAAAAAAAAAAAAGCUUAUUUCAGAUAAUUUUCAUUAAAAAAGGUUAAAAUAAAAAUACAUAGUUCAAAUAUUUUUAAGGUAUUGGUCUCAUAACUAAUAGUCUAAAUAUAAAAUCCAUAAGCCAGACUAAUGUGCUCUUCGUACAGGGCAGAGAGGAACAGUGGUGUGCAUAUUUGUGUAUGUGCGUGUGCUGCUUUUUCUUGGCAGUUGCAGCAAUAUAGAUAUUAUUUUCUUUAUUUUACUAAAUGUAAAAUUUUAUCUUUUGGCAUGAACAGAGUGAUUCAGAUACUGGACUGGUUACGAUUCGGACAGCUUUUUCUCCUUCUAUCUGUUUCACUGAAUUUUCUUGCAGAGAAAAUUUCCUCUUACCAAGGGCAAUCAGCUAAUUUCUUCCUGGAAAACCAAAUCUAAUAUACAGUAAAAAAAAAAUCACAAAUUAUACAGAACUAGUAUUAUUAUACUUUCUGGAGAUGAACUGGUGUGAGGGUGGGGUGCUUUCUUUUGACUGAGGGGGAGAAUUAUUCAGCUGGAAAAAAUGGGCAGCUGAUCUUAAUUAUUUUCAUAGAUGCUAAAUGUGCAUUCAUUUUGCUGCAUGGCUUUUCAAAGACUACGUGCUUUGCAUUUUUUCAUUUUACUGCAGAACAGAGAUAGCAAGCAUAGUGCUACAUUCAGCUCUAUCCCCAUUCAAACGUUGCUCACUGCUAUCAUUAGAGAUGGUGUUUACCCUUGCUAUGUGAGUGGCUGGACUACCAAGAUGGCGCUCAAAUGGAGUCUCACAUGAUCAAUAUUUCUUGGUACUUUUUGCCUUUUUUUUUUGUUGUGAAUCCUUAUAAUCUGUACAUGUUUUUCUCUAUUUGCCUAUCAUAGUGUAACCUAAUGAUCAAGGACUCUAAACACAGAAUGGAAACAUUUCCACUCUGUUUCUCCUCGCAUACCUUCGUGGUAUUCCAGUGCGAUGAUCUCUGCAUCUAGCAUGCUCAAAAAACUGAAAGCCUAAUUCUUUACUCCUUUAUAUUAAUUUUUAAUUUCUUUUCACAAGCUUCUGAGAAUAGCAAAUACUGUCUUACUACUAAGUACUCUGGAAAAUCUGGCCCAAAUCCCUGCCCUUUUCUUUUUAGUUAUACACCUGGAAUUUCAGAUACAAAAAUAACAAUGUCAUGAAUGUGGGUGAAGACAGAGAGAACAAAGAAAAAUGGUAUAAAAAUUCUUUCUGUUUCCUCUCCUGCCACUAAAAAAGGAAUUAAAACUGAUAACUUAAAACUCAAACAGUAUUUUAAAUAUUUACAUCAAUGAAGUCCAACAACAUAAUCACUUAAAACACCAUAAGAAUGUUCCUCUAGGGGCUGACUAGCGUGGGUUGGACAUGGCAGCAAGAUGAGAUGCUUUGCAAAUAAUCUGUGUUUUCUGAGCCAGCUUUGCUUGUCAGACGUGCAUAUAAAGUGAAAGCAGAAAGAGAAAAGCAGAUCUAUGAUUAUGCCUAGUACCCCCAAGAGCCUGAGACAGCACACAACAUGGUGCAGUUGUAUCUUUCCAUGACCAGCCUGAUGGCGAGUGCACACCAGAGUGAGGAAUGGGUUCCCAUUCGUACACACCAAGGAAAGGAAGCCUGGGGGAUGCCAUGACUUCUGCAAACCUGCAUGCUGCAGCAAGGCUGUUUACUAGCGACACACAGAAAAAUAUUCCAGUGUGCCUUUCGUAUCUGCCCUCCUCC
rnacentral:lncRNA from 1 species